rnacentral:rRNA from 1 species
CGGGCUGGACCUCUCGGGGUUACAGCCUUGCUGAAUUAUUCACCCUUGUCUUUUGCGUACUUCUUGUUUCCUUGGUGGGUUCGCCCACCACUAGGACAAACAUAAACCUUUUGUAAUUGCAAUCAGCGUCAGUAACAAAUUAAUAAUUACAACUUUCAACAACGGAUCUCUUGGUUCUGGCAUCGAUGAAGAACGCAGCGAAAUGCGAUAAGUAGUGUGAAUUGCAGAAUUCAGUGAAUCAUCGAAUCUUUGAACGCACAUUGCGCCCUUUGGUAUUCCAAAGGGCAUGCCUGUUCGAGCGUCAUUUGUACCCUCAAGCUUUGCUUGGUGUUGGGCGUCUUGUCUCUAGCUUUGCUGGAGACUCGCCUUAAAGUAAUUGGCAGCCGGCCUACUGGUUUCGGAGCGCAGCACAAGUCGCACUCUCUAUCAGCAAAGGUCUAGCAUCCAUUAAGCCUUUUUUUCAACUUUUGACCUCGGAUCAGGUAGGGAUACCCGCUGAACUUAAGCAUAUCA